CAUAGAACCAUAAUAAAAACUUCUACUGUGGUAGAAGCCUGACUAUCAACCAUCUUUCAGUGAAGGGAAAAUGGCCACAUCUACCUGGAAUUAUUUUUCAAAUUCUUGUGGUAUUGUCUUUUCAGGUGGAAAUCUCAGAACUAAUGUAAUGAGGAGGUGCCUGACAAAACUUGACAACAAAGUUGAUGAGCUAUUUUUGCAAUGUUUACUAUCAAUUUUAGUAUGAGAAAAAGGAAAGCAGUCAAGCACAUAUGUGCCUUUAAGUAUGAUGGAAUCAGAAGUUGAACAAGUAAGAGUUUAGAUCAGAAGUUGUCCCAAUAUGAUGAAACUUUUGCUCAGCUCACACUUGCCUUCUUUAAAUCUCUAGUUCACAGGCGGAACAAAAUAGACCUAUAAGUGAUAUCAAGUCGGGUAUGAGGACGUUAAACGGGAUGGGGUGGAGUGGGUGGUUGCAGGGCGAACCCGCAUAACCCCACAAAUACUUCAACCCGCUCCGUCCCACCCCCCAUAAGAAAAAAAUCUAUUUGCAAUCCGCCCCACCCCGCAUAAUUUUUUUAUUUUUUUCUUUUAAAAUUAAGUUUGAUACUAAAAGUGAAAUUCAUAAUUUCUUUUAACACAUUUCCGCUAAUUAGUAUCUUGAUUGUCGUAAUCAUACUCUUUGCAGGGAAUUUUAAUACUCCAUUGUUGUACAAUCAUACGAAAGUUGUUCUCAUUUCUGUCAUGAUGUGUAUACUUAAUUGAACUGGAAAGUGAAUUGAAUUUGUAGAAAAAAAUUACCACAGCAAAGUGGCAGUCUUCAGGGAAAAAAUUAUUUAAACUGAAUACACUUCCAUUAAUUACCCAUAAUUAUACACUAACCUAAUAAAUUAUGCAUCGAUUACUUUGUCUGAUUCAAUGUUAUUUUGGAUGUGAGCAAGGUUUGUGGCUUCUUAUAUAUGCAUCUAUUAGAAAACCGCAACCCGCCCUGGCCCAUUGCCGUCCCUCGCUGGGUAGAUGGACUAAAACAAGCUAAAAUGAAUCCAACGUGAAUGCUGAUAGCUGUAUUAAGGGCAAUCCAGGGAGUGCAGGGAGUGGUGGUGUACUGAGAAAUCACAGUGGACACAUGGUGAUGAUAUUCACUGCCCAUAACGGCUACUACAGUAACAAUAAAGCUGAGGUCCAAGCCCUGAAGAUUGGACAACAGUGGUUCUUCAUAAUAGCUGUCACAGGAUACAAGACUUCCGGGAGGUACAACAAAUGAGGACGCAAGGAAGCUGUUUUGACUCAGGAAAACCUGAGGAAGAGGGGGAUACAACUGAGCUCAAGAUGCUAUCUGUGUGGACGG